AUCUAAAUAUAAUUCCCUGAGAUAUAGUUUCCUUUCACUUCAAAAUAACUGUACAUUAGGUUGAGAGACAAAAAAAUUCAUUGUCUACAAUUACACAUACUUUCUGAUUAAUUUAUUGGUUAGCCCACAUUUAGUUCAUCACGCACAACUUAUUUUUCUGCAUGUGCAUUUGGGACAAUAACCUGGCAUAUGAAACCUUUAAAAUUUACAUUUAAAAAUUUAUAUUUGCGCUUGGAUGACUUUGCCAAUAACUAGAACUCCCUCAAAAACAAAGGCUAGGUCCCUGACUCCUAUAGGCAUGACCAAGAGUACACUACAAAAUGAUUCCUCUGAGACUGAAAUGUUUUUUUCCUGCUUCUCCCUCAGAGAGACAUUGUGGAAAAAUUCUAGAACUUUUAGAAUAGACAUUGUGUGCUUGACUCCAGCGAUCAAAGAUUCUGAAAUAUUGAGGCCCCAUUUGAGAGUCAUACACUUAUACUAGUUUUAUUUGUUGUUGUUGUUUAUAAUCUGAAGAAAUGAACUUCAGCCAUCUAGAGCAAAAAUAGUUGGAUUUGUUGGAGGGAUACGGACUGAGCUAAGUAGUAGAAUCAGUGACAGACUGAUACAAGCCAAGGGACGGCAGAAUAAGGAAAGCUCCAAAAAUCUCUCAAAGAAAAAGUUUGGUCAACCUUGUAGGGGAACCAGCCCGCU
rnacentral:lncRNA from 1 species